AUAACUAGAAACUAAUCUAGAUUGUUAGACCUAACACAAAAGGCACGUGAUCUAAUGUCCCAAAUUCAUCACACAACUUUCUCUCUCCAAAUUCUCUCCACGGGUAAUCUCUCUCCUCCAUUGAAGCAAGUGCACUGAAUAAUUCUCCAUUGAUGCGGCUUCUAAGCUUUCCGUACUCCAUGGACGCGGGUUUCGAGCUAUUUCUACUCCAUUGAAGCAACUUCUGAGUGCGGCUCAGUUUGUCAAGGCCUAUAAAGAGGUUGUGAAUUCAUUAAGUGGAAGUAUCUCUUCUCAACUUGGUGCGGUUGCUAUUAUUGUUGCUUAAUAUUUGUUCAAGUUUACAUUAGUCUGGAACAUAAUAAAACUAGAUGAAACAUUAACUCAAGACUACAACUCAUAUGAACAAACUUUUUAUUGAACACCUAGGUGGCAGGUGACUAGCAUUAAUCUUUUUGUAUGUAUUUGUGAAAUUGUGUUGUAGUAAUGAAUUUGAGCUUUCCAGCUAUACAUAUAUGAGGUGGCCCUCUAUAAUGCUUUAAUUAGUGUGUUGAUGAUUGGAUAUGUACUCGUACUAGAAUCAUCAUACCUGUGCUCAUGUAACAUAUUUGUGACAUGUUGAGAUUUCAGAACAUUUAAAAACCUUGAGGUGUUAUUGCCUUGAAUAGAAUUUGCUUCUACUGAGGCGUA